UGGUACAUCUGGGAGCGUUCAGAAAACUCCCAGCUUACAAGCUGUAACUACGAUCUCUACGAGGACGUGAACGCUUUUUACAAGCUAGAAUCUUGUAACUACAGGAAUUACAAGGCCGCGUGGACGCACCUUAAUAUACAUAGAUCUAUGAAUAUGCUAAUUAGCUCCGCCUUCAAUCACUCGCACGAGCUCAGAGAUCAACGGUCAAUUUACUGAGUCAGCUUCCUCUCCCACCUUACCUAUGCAAGCCAGAAGAUGUUUGGGAUGAGCCGCUGAGGAAUCAGAGAGGAAAAAAUGAACAUCCUAACACACACUGGCUCAUGGUUGAUUGAUGUGAGCAGAGAGGGAAGCUGAGACAUACGCUAUCAUAACCCCACAGUAAAGACAUUCUCAGCUCCAGCUCACUGCGGAUGCUUCAUUCAGCAGGUCAGUUCAAGGUCAGUUCAGGUAAAUGCAGCAGGAGUUCAAGGCAUGUUUUUAAAGAUGACCUCAGCAAAGGUUGUCCCCAUCUCAUUGAAUGGACCUGAGACACUGACUCCUAAAGGAAAUCCCAACGGAGCACUGGUGAGUGUCACCUUACUUUACCUUCAGUAUCUCAGACUUAAUCAGGUUCCAAUCAUCUCACCUCAGAACGAUCAGUUGUGUUUCAAUAUAGCUGACUGAUUAUGGCAGAACUGAGUUUUGCUGAAAGGACUGGACAGAUUUUUGCAUUGAAUAGAAAAGGAUAGAAAAGGGGGCAGGUUAGGUGUGAAACUGUCUGGAUUGUGGCUAUAAUUGCAGCCUAUUGUUGUGAAAUUAUUGAUUAUUGGCUAAUCAAUAAAUCUGUUGCAUGGUUGUUUGAUUGUUUAUCUCUAGUCUUUCUAAAAGUGACUUAUUGAACUGAUUCUGUCCUACCUCGUUUCCAAAAUGCAGUGAUGAUAAUGUCUUUCUGUGCUGUACUUGGUAACGCUGUCUGCUCUUGUCUUGCCCCAAAAUAAUUUUGAUUCCAAAGGAUUUAUUUAAAGGUUUAAAAAAAAUAAAAAAUAAACCAAGCCUAUAACAAUAGCCCAUCUGUUGCUUAACAAUCUGAAAACCAGCUUUACAGUCUAUCAAAUCUUGUUUUUUUUCAUAGGAGCUGGGCAAAAUAUUCUUAUCUGUCAAAUCUGUAAAAGUCAAAGGCUAUGGAAGCAGCCAAACCUUGUUAAAAAUAAGUGAAUUUAAUGUACUGAAUGUGCAAUUGUAGUGUACUUCACAUCUUAAAAGUCUAUUAAAAAACUGUUCUUGCGGAUAAUGCAAUAUUAUUAAAAUACAAGGUCACUUGACUGUACUAAAAGAGAGUACACUUUGUAAUAAUGCAUUAUUAAAUUUAUUAAAUCAUAAUUAAAAGUUUUACUGUAAAGUACACUUUAAAUCAUUGUUUUAUUAUUUUUUUUAUGUUAAAGUACACUUUUGAUGUGUUUUAAUAAUUUUUUUUAUGUUAAAGUACACUUUUGAUGUGUUUUAAUAAUAUUUUUUCAUGCUAGAAGUACACUUUUGAUGUGUUUUAAUAAUAUUUUUUCAUGCUAGAAGUACACUUUUGAUGUGUUUUAAUAAUAUUUUUUCAUGCUAGAAGUACACUUUUGAUGUGUUGACUAACAUACUAAAGCCCAUGUUGUCACAAGUAUGUUUAGUUAGUUUCACUUUCAUGGACUUUUAGUUUGUUUAUCGUCAGAUUCCUGUUUCCUUUGUCUUUGUUUCCCACCACUAAUCUGUUUCUAUGGACAUUGGACACUGAUUCAAUCACCUCACCUGUUAGUCUUUUAGUUCAUGAUCUCCUGUAUAAAUGCUCUCUGUUUUCAGUUCCUCAUUAGCUAUGUUUCCAUCCAAAGUCGCAUAUUUAACUAAAGGAAAAUUUGGAAUAUUGCAUAAAAAAUAUUUGCGAAUAAAGCACUUUUUCCAUCCAGUGAGAGAACAAAAACGUCACUUCCUGAUAAACUGGCACUAAAUAUCACCAAGACAAAUGGAAGUUGAUGCAGUAGAAUCCACUGUACAUAAUAAUAUAAAUUAUUUGGUCCUCAGAGUGCACAGACGAAACGCAAUAAACGCUGUCAUGUUAUCUUGCAUUCCGAUGCCUGGUGUUUGUGAAUGCAAUUGUGUGAGGUGCUUCUGGGAUGGAAUUAAACAGAACUACUUUAACGACAGACUUUGCUCAGGCAUUACAGAAUGACUAGAACAGCAUUUCAGAUGCUGUGCAAUGAGGUCGUUCCACUGGUUGGUCCAGUUAUGCCGUCCCAUUGCAAAGUCACGUCUUUUUUGAUGCGCAUCAAGGAAUUUAUUCUGUAAAAGUGUUUCGUAUCGCAUAAAAAAUGUAUCCAACUCAUUUGAGUGCAUACUUUUUUGCAACAUGUUCUCCAACCAAUACGCCUAUAUAGGUCGUUUGUCACUUCCCUGAAUUACGACCCAUAGGAGCGUUUACUAAAGUUGCACCCCUA